rnacentral:rRNA from 1 species
UACGAACUGUGCAAACGUUAUUCGGAAUCACUGGGCUUAAAGGGUGCGUAGGCGGCUUGUUAAGUAGGGUGUGAAAGCCCCCGCUCAACCGGGGAAUUGCGCCCUAAACUGGCGAGCUGGAGUGGGAUAGGGGUGUGUGGAACUUCCGGGUGGAGCGGUGAAAUGUGUUGAGUAUCGGAAAGGACGGCCGGUGGCGAAAGCGACACACUGGG